rnacentral:lncRNA from 1 species
UAAAAAUAUUUAUAUUGUCGGACAAUUAUAAAUGUUGAAUUAGUAAAAAUAUAACCUUUUAAUUAACAAAAAAUUAGUUGUUUUAAGUGGUAAAAGCUUUGGGUCUGUUAAGUAAGUGGUCAAAAGUUUGAUAUUUGGCUCCUGUGUAUGAACAAAAUUCGUUUGAGGGGAAUAACUCAUUUUUUGUGCCCCACAUAUUUCUUGGAGGCAAUUAGUCAUCAAUCACUAUUAAAUAAGAACUUCGUAAAUAUAACACGAUAACAUAAAAAAAUUUUACAUGGACAGUGUAACAGAAAAAUCUACAUUUAUUUUUAUUAUUUUACUAUUUUACGGCCCCGGUGUGAUAAGUUUCUGGAUCCGUCCCUGACUACGAUAUUGUCAAGAAAGACAGCAACUUUGGACGGGAAAUGGUAAUAAUCAAGAAAUUUAUAUCCUUUUCAUAUCCGUAUAAUUCUAUUAUAUCUAAUACUCUAAUUAAAACACAUUAAGGCUAUGUUUGGAUUGGUGGUAAAGGAUGGAAUGAAAUGGAAUGAAGUGGAAUAAAGUCACAUUCCAUUGUUUGGUUUUAUGGAGUAUGAUGGAACUCAUUCCAUCCAAUACCACUCAUUCCUUCAAAUUUUCAUUCCCCCCAAUUUGGGGUGUAUCCAAUGGAAUAGAGCUUUUCUAUUAUUUAAUUACUCUUUUGUCCUCUUUUCUUUUUUUCAUCUCGUGAUGUUUCUUAUUCCUUUUUUCUUCCAUCGUGCCUCUCCACUCUCAGAUCUUCUUUUCCACAUAGAUGUGCAAUCUUCUUUUCCACAUAGAUGUGCAAAACUGAGUUGAGAAUUUGCUUCAUCUUAAACUUGCUUCAGAACAUGUUAUCAGGAAGUAGUAGCAGGCAAUUAUGUGAAUGAAAUUGUUUAAAGAGUAAAUACAAUGUUCAUAUAGAAUAAAUACCUGGUAGUUGGCUUGCUUCCCCAUCGUCACCAUAUUUUUACAUCAUGGUAUUAGUUUAUGGCAUAUUUUACUAUCAUGAAGCAUCCUAUGUGUGUUUAGUAAAAACAUAUGUGAUAAAUAAUAAUGCUGAAAACUAUAAUACAAAUGCUAGAACCUGAGUUUUUUUGUUUGACCGAAGAGUCAAUUGGAGUUAUUAUGGCUAUAGUUUAAUGUUUUAAAAUAAGGGUAAAAUUGGAAUAAAAAUGUUAUAAUUUAUUCCAUUUCGUUCACUUUCCAAACGAUGGAAUGAUAAUUUUGUUCCAUUCCAUUAUUGAAUAUCCAAACAAUGGAACAUAAUUUGUGUUCCAUUCCGUCCAGCUCCACUCCAUUCCAUUAUGUUUCAUUCCGCUCCAUUCCGUUCGGUACCAUCAAUCAUCAAUCCAAACAGAGCCUAAGGUAACCAAAAUCAUCAUCAUCACUCAUUCAUACACAGACCUGCGUAGUUUCAAAGUUAUUUGAUCUCGAGCCUUGGCUGAGAUGGCCGUACUCAACCUAUCCUGCCAUGAAUGUCUUUAAACCACCUGCAGAAAACAAAACAACGCAGAUGAAUACAUACGCUAUUAACCAUUUUCAAUUUCACUUCAUCUUCAAAAUUGAGAUUAAAGAGUUUCAAAACCUAACUUACCGGAACUGGAUGUCCAAUUAAACAGUUCAAAACCGCUGAUUUACCAGAACCCUACAAAAUCGAAAUUUAAAUCAAAAUCGCAAAAUAGGGAUCGAUCGCCGCCAUAGAUGAUGAUAAUGAAUCGAUGAGAAAGCGAAAUUGAGAGAUGAAAGCGUUUGUGUUAUGUGUGCCUGAAAAAUAGGGAUCGAUCGAAACCAAAACCCUAAACCAGACUCUAAGCUACGAUCUGAAACAGAGAACCAGAUCUCUGAGUUUCUCUCUCUAAAUGGUGGAAUUGGAUGGAAAAUAGAUUAGGGACCUUUUAGUUAUUUUUAAUAGUUUAGGGACU